CCGCCGGCGACCGGCGCACGGGUGAGUAACACGUAUGCAACCUGGCCGUGACAGAUGGAUAACCGGGAGAAAUCCCGCCUAAUACAACAUAAUGCCGGGAGGGGACCAUCCCCUGCCGGGUCAAACGGGGGCGACCCCGGUCACGGAUGGGCAUGCGGCGCAUUAGGUAGUUGGUGGGGCAACGGCCCACCAAGCCGACGAUGCGUAGGGGUUCUGAGAGGAAGGUCCCCCACAUUGGAACUGAGACACGGUCCAAACUCCUACGGAAGGCAGCAG
rnacentral:rRNA from 1 species